ACUCCUGCGGGAGGCAGCAGUGGGGAAUUUUGGACAAUGGGCGAAAGCCUGAUCCAGCAAUGCCGCGUGAGUGAAGAAGGCCUUCGGGUUGUAAAGCUCUUUUGUCAGGGAAGAAACGGUGAGAGCUAAUAUCUCUUGCUAAUGACGGUACCUGAAGAAUAAGCACCGGCUAACUACGUGCCAGCAGCCGCGGUAAUACGUAGGGUGCAAGCGUUAAUCGGAAUUACUGGGCGUAAAGCGUGCGCAGGCGGUUUUGUAAGUCUGAUGUGAAAUCCCCGGGCUCAACCUGGGAAUUGCAUUGGAGACUGCAAGGCUAGAAUCUGGCAGAGGGGGGUAGAAUUCCACGUGUAGCAGUGAAAUGCGUAGAUAUGUGGAGGAACACCGAUGGCGAAGGCAGCCCCCUGGGUCAAGAUUGACGCUCAUGCACGAAAGCGUGGGGAGCAAACAGGAUUAGAAACCCCGGUAGUCCCAUGA
rnacentral:rRNA from 1 species